rnacentral:rRNA from 1 species
GGAGGCGAGUUUGAUCCUGGCUCAGGACGAACGCUGGCGGCGUGCCUAAUACAUGCAAGUUGAGCGCUGAAGGUUGGUACUUGUACCGACUGGAUGAGCAGCGAACGGGUGAGUAACGCGUGGGGAAUCUGCCUUUGAGCGGGGGACAACAUUUGGAAACGAAUGCUAAUACCGCAUAAAAACUUUAAACACAAGUUUUAAGUUUGAAAGAUGCAAUUGCAUCACUCAAAGAUGAUCCCGCGUUGUAUUAGCUAGUUGGUGAGGUAAAGGCUCACCAAGGCGAUGAUACAUAGCCGACCUGAGAGGGUGAUCGGCCACAUUGGGACUGAGACACGGCCCAAACUCCUACGGGAGGCAGCAGUAGGGAAUCUUCGGCAAUGGACGAAAGUCUGACCGAGCAACGCCGCGUGAGUGAAGAAGGUUUUCGGAUCGUAAAACUCUGUUGGUAGAGAAGAACGUUGGUGAGAGUGGAAAGCUCAUCAAGUGACGGUAACUACCCAGAAAGGGACGGCUAACUACGUGCCAGCAGCCGCGGUAAUACGUAGGUCCCGAGCGUUGUCCGGAUUUAUUGGGCGUAAAGCGAGCGCAGGUGGUUUAUUAAGUCUGGUGUAAAAGGCAGUGGCUCAACCAUUGUAUGCAUUGGAAACUGGUAGACUUGAGUGCAGGAGAGGAGAGUGGAAUUCCAUGUGUAGCGGUGAAAUGCGUAGAUAUAUGGAGGAACACCGGUGGCGAAAGCGGCUCUCUGGCCUGUAACUGACACUGAGGCUCGAAAGCGUGGGGAGCAAACAGGAUUAGAUACCCUGGUAGUCCACGCCGUAAACGAUGAGUGCUAGAUGUAGGGAGCUAUAAGUUCUCUGUAUCGCAGCUAACGCAAUAAGCACUCCGCCUGGGGAGUACGACCGCAAGGUUGAAACUCAAAGGAAUUGACGGGGGCCCGCACAAGCGGUGGAGCAGUGGUUUAAUUCGAAGCAACGCGAAGAACCUUACCAGGUCUUGACAUACUCGUGCUAUUCCUAGAGAUAGGAAGUUCCUUCGGGACACGGGAUACAGGUGGUGCAUGGUUGUCGUCAGCUCGUGUCGUGAGAUGUUGGGUUAAGUCCCGCAACGAGCGCAACCCCUAUUGUUAGUUGCCAUCAUUAAGUUGGGCACUCUAACGAGACUGCCGGUGAUAAACCGGAGGAAGGUGGGGAUGACGUCAAAUCAUCAUGCCCCUUAUGACCUGGGCUACACACGUGCUACAAUGGAUGGUACAACGAGUCGCGAGACAGUGAUGUUUAGCUAAUCUCUUAAAACCAUUCUCAGUUCGGAUUGUAGGCUGCAACUCGCCUACAUGAAGUCGGAAUCGCUAGUAAUCGCGGAUCAGCACGCCGCGGUGAAUACGUUCCCGGGCCUUGUACACACCGCCCGUCACACCACGGGAGUUGGGAGUACCCGAAGUAGGUUGCCUAACCGCAAGGAGGGCGCUUCCUAAGGUAAGACCGAUGACUGGGGUGAAGUCGUAACAAGGUAACC